rnacentral:rRNA from 1 species
UACGUAGGGUGCAAGCGUUAAUCGGAAUUACUGGGCGUAAAGGGCGCGUAGGCGGCGUGACAAGUCACUUGUGAAAUCUCCGGGCUUAACUCGGAACGGUCAAGUGAUACUGUCGGACUAGAGUACAGAAGGGGCAACUGGAAUUCUCGGUGUAGCGGUGAAAUGCGUAGAUAUCGAGAGGAACACCUGCGGCGAAGGCGGGUUGCUGGGCUGAUACUGACGCUGAGGCGCGAAAGCCAGGGGAGCGAACGGG